rnacentral:rRNA from 1 species
GAUAAGCUGCGAUAAGCUUUGGGGAGGUGCAAAUAACCUUUGAUCCAAAGAUUUCCGAAUGGGACAACCCGAUAUCCUGAAGGGAUAUCACCUUACAUAGUAAGGAGCUAACGCAGGGAACUGAAACAUCUUAGUACCUGCAGGAAAAGAAAAUAACAAUGAUUCCCCCAGUAGUGGCGAGCGAACGGGGAAGAGCCCAAACCACACAUGUUACGGCAUGUGUGGGGUUGUAGGACCACGUCG